rnacentral:sRNA from 1 species
UGUGACUUGGAAAUUAUGGAAAUCAAGCAACUUCAACAGGAACUUCAGGAAUAUCAGAAUAAGCUUAUCUAUCUGGUACCUGAGAAGCAAUUAUUAAAUGAAAGAAUUAAAAACAUGCAGUUCAGUAACACACCUGGUAAGUCUCUAAGGUUUGUGUGAUUACUUUUAUCCUUUUCUGAAUGACUGUAUCAGUCACAUUUUUUUAAAAUUAAAAAAAGUAUUCUGUUAUAAAUAACACUUUUUGCCUGUAAGUUUAAAGUUUCAAAAUAACAUGAAAAAUAUCCCAGAUGUUAGAGCAUUUUUAGUGAUAAAAAGUAGAUAAAAAUAAAAUAGUAAUGACUGUGGUAUGACUUCAUAUUUUGAUAUUUUUAUGUAUAUAAUUGAAAUAUCAAAUAAAGUGUUAGACUAUAAGAUAUAAAUUUGGCCCUAACAUAAGACUACAUGUGCAUUUUGAAAAGUCCUGCACUGAUUUUAAAGAACUGUUCAGGAGGAGGCUUUACAGUGGGGCCGCACCUGGGAUUCUAGGGUGUUAGCGUGCAGCAGUCAUAGGCUUA